rnacentral:tRNA from 1 species
GGGGUAUUAAUUUAAAGGUAGAAUAUUAGUCUUCCAAACUAAAUAUGUCAGUUCAAUUCUGUCAUACCCCUCCA